rnacentral:rRNA from 1 species
GAGCGGUAGAGAGGUGCUUGCACCUCUUGAGAGCGGCGGACGGGUGAGUAAUGCCUAGGAAUCUGCCUGGUAGUGGGGGAUAACGCUCGGAAACGGACGCUAAUACCGCAUACGUCCUACGGGAGAAAGCAGGGGACCUUCGGGCCUUGCGCUAUCAGAUGAGCCUAGGUCGGAUUAGCUAGUUGGUGAGGUAAUGGCUCACCAAGGCGACGAUCCGUAACUGGUCUGAGAGGAUGAUCAGUCACACUGGAACUGAGACACGGUCCAGACUCCUACGGGAGGCAGCAGUGGGGAAUAUUGGACAAUGGGCGAAAGCCUGAUCCAGCCAUGCCGCGUGUGUGAAGAAGGUCUUCGGAUUGUAAAGCACUUUAAGUUGGGAGGAAGGGCAUUAACCUAAUACGUUAGUGUUUUGACGUUACCGACAGAAUAAGCACCGGCUAACUCUGUGCCAGCAGCCGCGGUAAUACAGAGGGUGCAAGCGUUAAUCGGAAUUACUGGGCGUAAAGCGCGCGUAGGUGGUUCGUUAAGUUGGAUGUGAAAUCCCCGGGCUCAACCUGGGAACUGCAUUCAAAACUGUCGAGCUAGAGUAUGGUAGAGGGUGGUGGAAUUUCCUGUGUAGCGGUGAAAUGCGUAGAUAUAGGAAGGAA